ensembl:lncRNA
CUCUUUCCAGUUUCUCGAGUAUCUGAGGCAGCUGCGUGUCGUCGUCACAGGCUGAACCCCAACCGAGAACACGGGCCAGAUCAUUCCCAGUCCCCAGAGGAAGAACUCCCAGCUGACACUGGAAACCACAACAGCAAAAGGAUGAACAGCAGGUUGACGUGGAGCUUGUGAGGAAGCGUCAGACCACACCUGUUUGUGCAGCGUGAGAGCGUCGAUCUCAGACAGAACCCAUCCGACGCUGCCGUCUCCUCCACACACCAGAAUCCUGAAGGUGUCAAACUUCUGGAACAAACGCAGACUGACAGAGAGACAAAGUCUUUAGAUGACUCACACAGGGUAACGCACACUCUGUGUCGGUCUCAGUGUCUCACCCCAGGUGAGGCCCCCCGUUCAUCAGGUCAAACACCUGCGCCGGGUUCAGCAGCUGCUUAAAGCGCCUCAGGAAUUUGACCCCCUGGUUGUCUCCGCUCUUAGAGUUGACAAACACCAGCAGAGGACUGGUGCAGGACGGGGGACACGAGGCCUUCCAGAAACCUGAACAUAGACACCAACGGUCAGCGUGAUCAGGUGUAUCACAGGUGAUCAGGUGUAUUGAUCAGGCUCACCGUCAGAGUCGAUGCUGUUGAGUGCGGUCGGGGGGAUGACAGAGACCUUACACUGACCCAGAGGACACUUAGAGGACAGCUGCUCCUUACAGCCUGAGUGCACCUUGAGGACAGAGGGACAAACCUCACUGUUUGUCCUGAGUGUGUCCGUUACAAGGUCUGCAUCCCUGAACUACACCUGAUCCGUCAUCUUAAUCACACCUGCUGUGGGGGACAGUGGGUGAGUGGAGAGCAUGGCCGUCCUGCAAUCAGAGGACUGGUGGUUUGAUGCAAACCCGCGUGUGGACGUGUCCUCGGGCACGACGCCUAAACCCAACACGCAGCUGUGACAAGUGUGUGAAUGCUCGUUCCUGAUGGUCACAUGUCCGUGUGUGGUAGCUCUUGUCAUCAUACACCUGAACUACAAUCUGAACUACACCCAAACUACGAUCCGUCUCUGGUCUUCACCAUGGCUUUACACCAGAGACACCUCCAGUCCUGUAGACGGAGGACACUGCCACCAGUUCUUAUCACAGACGUUACAUUUGGCGGAGACCGGCCAGGUUCCCCUCCAACCACUGAUGGGCAUGACACCUGAGGACAGAGGUCAGGGGUCAGAGUACAGAGGAUUGGGGUCAGCAGGAGAUGAUGUGUUAGUGAGUCUCACCCCGUCCUCGUCCUCGAUGAUGUCCUUUCCAAUAGAGGCCAGAGUUGUCCAUUUACAGUUGUUAGUGGCUCUGACUGCACAGCGCUUAUGAGCCUUGAACUUACACACUGGCACACAGACACUUAAUGUACACACACAUUUAAUGCACGCAUACAAACUGAUGUGUAUAGAGUAAUACUGUGUGUACUAUUUGUAUGUAGUAUUAAUAUGUGUACAAUAUGAAUAAAGUAGUAGUGUGUGUACUGUGUGUAUCUGCUCCACACAUCUGGAAUAAAGUCCCAGAAAGCUGCAGGUCUGCUGAGACUCUCAGACAGAUGGACAGACAGAUGGACAGGUUUGCUGAGACUUUGCUUCCUCUAAUUGAACUGAUUUCAGGACGAAGUAGAAGCUGUUUACUGUUUAAUUCAUUAGAUGCAACUUUUAUUCUUGUUUAAUGGCAAUCAUUUUUAUAUUUCUUUUAAUUUUCCUGAUGUUUUGAAUGGUUUUAUGUGAAGAACUUUGAAUCCCCGUGUAGUUGAAAUGUGCUAUACAAAUACAUGUGCCUUACCAUAUGUGUACUGUGAGCAUUUAGGAGUACCAUGCAUUUAUGCAUGUACUAUGUGUGUACCUUCACAGGACAGCCCGUGGGACGUCACCCCCGACAACGCCUCUCUGCACACGUUGCAGUACGUUGGGCGGGCGUGAGAGCAGGCGUACCAGUUGUGCAUCCCGCUGAAGUGGUCCAUGCUGUACUGGGUGGACUGGGAGAGACACACAGUCAGCUGCUGCUGGACUCACCUACUGGUCAAAGUGGGGACGGAGACACACCUCAAAGUUCUGUCUGCUCUGGACGCUUCGCAGAGCCGCCAUCCACUCCUCCAUCUCCUUCCUGUUGUCUGCACACAGGAUGAGGCGUCUGCAGGGGGUGAUGACCUACACACACACACACACACACACACUCAGUAUUUCCUGGUUGUGCAGAUGAAAGCAGCAGAAUGUGUCAUUUGCAGAUGUUGACAUCCACUUCCUGUCCAGCUGCUACACAAUAAAGCUGUGUUCCCACACUGACAGAAAUAAACAGAAAGACAGAAAUAAACAGAAAGACACACACACUCACACACACACACACACACACACACACACACACACACACACACACACACACACUGGUUUGGAUUUGCCUGUAAGAAACAGAACCCAACAUGGUUCUGCUUUUUUUCCUGAGUUGUACCUUUGGGUUCUACUGUGGAACUGAAUCUAGGUCAUGGUUCGGGGACAGACACAGACCUGCUGAUGGCGAUUGGUCAAACAAUACCAGUUUACCACCCAGUUGACGGAGACACCAGAGGUUUCAUCACAUGGACGUCAGAAGUGUUUCUGAUGAAAGGUUCUGUUGUUUUCUGGCCUGCAGCGUCACAUGAUCCUCAUGAUCAUCACAUGAGGAGCAUCAUCAGUGGUUAUUUUCCUCUAAUUGAACUGCUUUGACCUUCUGACUGUCAGCUGACCUAUGGUAAAGCUUGAGCGACGACAUCCCAGUCUGACUGACAACGAAUCAGCUUCUUACCGUUUGUUCUUCGGCAGUGACAACGUAUCAUUAUAGAAUUAUUAAAUCCAAAAGUCCUGUUUAGAGUCCUGAACCAGAAGGAUUAUGGUUUCUCUCUGUGUGAAUGUUACUGCCUGUGUCUCUCUGCAGUGAGCCCUCCUACUUCCUCUUCUGUGACUCAAGGCCACUUCCUGUUGGUCGUCACGCCGACCCCUCACCCCCCCACAGACACACACACUUAUGGACAUAAAGAUGUUUGCGCACUCACGGUGAAGCUGUUGUUGACGUUCUUGGUGCUUGACUCCGCCACGCUGGCAUCCGUCAGGUCCACCUCGUCAAAGAUGAUCGACUGGAGACACAAAACUCUGACAUCAGCCCGCCAGCGUCAGAAGAAACCGCUUUUACUAAUGCUGAACCGAUCCUCCACCUUCUGCCUUAAACGUCUGCAGGCGGGACAGAGGCGGAUCCUGCACCUGCAGACUGGCUCACCUUUGAGGUCUGAGCAUAGUACAGCGUCCUCCCUCUCAGUUUGAAGUAUCUUCUUUUCCAGCGCUGGAAGGAGUUAGUCUGCUUCAUCAGAUUUCCUUCUCUCAGCACCGUCUGGAACGCAUUGUUCACAGUUAAUGAACUUUACACACACUCUUGGUUAAACUGAACAAACUACUUUAGCUUUUUCUGUUACAACAGAACAAGGUUGCAGCAGAGAGAAAAACAUCCUGUGAUGAAGAGGUUCAGUCUCCUCCUGCAAAGGAUCAUUAAUGAUCAAAUCAGCACACAAAGGAAAAAAGGAGGAAAUAUACCUUUUAGAGAUCACUGAUCAUGUUUUUUUCACCGCUGAUACAAAUUAUUGAUCAUGAUGAUCCAUACUUCUGUUUCAUUACAGCAGCUGGUCUUAAAGGAGAGUUUAUACUACAUGAAAACUUGCAAUUCAAAUAAUAAGAGAGUACUGAACUGAGCUAUCGAUUGUUAGCUGCUACGGGUGCUGCUCACCUUAAAGGUAACAUGAUCAGAGAAUAGAAUCACCAGAUCGAUCAUCAGCAAAACUUUAUUUGAAACGUUCUUUUGGUUAACGUUAAACUGUCAUUAAUCUAAGGUUCAUGUGUCAGAUCCUCACAAUAAUGGACCCACUGUUUGAGCUAUUAACAAUACCAGUGGGAAACAGGAAAACGCUUCACGGCUGCGGGGUCCGGCUGUCACGCUCUACUUUCAAUAUUGCAACAUUUGAUUGGUAUUUAAUGGGAACGUACAAAGCCGGUUUCAGUCAUAUUCAUCUGAUCAAUUUCCAGUUUUUGAAACCUCUUAUGAUACACUUCAUCUAGAUAGCCCUGCUCUGGGACCCAGCAGGUUUAUAGUUAGGACAUGUGACCCUAAUUGUUGCACACUAUUUAACAUGUGCACUACAGUAAUGUCUCAUCGUCAUUGUAUGUUUUCUACAGGUGGGGGCAAAACAAAUCACUUCAUGUUGCGAUUAAGUAUUAAAUUAAAAAACAACUCAUGUCUCACUACAGAAGUCAAAACACUCUUUAUCAACCGUCUAAACUCUCCAUUACUAAAGCAGUAACCGGGAAAGAGACAAACGUCUCUGUCUCUGUGACGGUGGUCAUUUUAAUCUGAUUAACAAGCAGAAUUCCUUCAACUCAGCCACAGGUAUUUCCGAGCUUUUGACGUUUGCCUGAAGGCGGCAUCAUGUCGGUAGCGUCCCGGUGAAGUUUAAUCGAGUGAAACGGCGCUACGUGUCCUAAAUAAACCGUUAUGUUCCGUUAUCGUACAAACGAUAGUUCUUAUUCAACAUAAUACACCUGUAGGGACACCGAGGACCGUUAUGUCCAACAAUGCUGACACCGACCGGCUCCACCCUCCACCUCUACGGGUGGGCGGCGGCAGGAAACUCCGGGGCUUUCCACCGGGCCCGAGGCCAUUCGGCUAAUCGGUACAGCUAACGGUACCGGUGUCUGUCCGUUAACCGGUGCAAGUAAACGUGUUCCCCGGGACAGUGGACCUUGUGCUUUCAUGUAUUAAGUGUAUCUAAAUGCAUCACCUGAUUAUUAAUCAUUGAUUCUGGUUCUAGUCAUUUAAAGGUCCGUUAGCUUCGAAAAUAUACAAAACUUAUUUCAACGAUGAUCAACCGGGAGAACUAAUUUACACAUUUUGUAUUCAUCAUAAGUCGUGCGAUGUUAACUGUUCUUCAAAUAUAGAGCAGAAGCUAUGACCCAAACUCCACCUGACGUACGUCACAUUUUGAAGAAACAACGUUUAUUAGAAAAUAUGCUGGAAAUCGAAGGGCUUCAGGUGACGUCACAUCCGUUCUUUAAAUCGGCAUAAUCGAUCCCGUAAAGCGGCCCAGCUUCGGAUGGCGGGUCUGUUUAUUUACAUGUUUACUCCGCUCCACGUCGACUAGAGGAGCAUGAAGACGCGGAGAAAAGGGUGAAACGUGUAAUAAAGACAAAGUAUUAUGAACACAAGGGACGUUUAUGCCGAAUUAAAAAUCGGCCUCUUCGUUUUCACAAACAUUUGAACUGAUAUUACAUCUAAUUCGUCUCCUUCUGCUGGGAAAGUUUAACUGACGUUUUGUUAGGGGUUCGGUCUAUGGUCUCUGCGGGAGGAGAACGCUGAACUUCUGGACGAACCCGUGUCCGGUAACUACCGCCGCUGCUUUAGCCUCGUACCUUGCUGCGGAUCUGACCAGAAGUGGACACUUUUCGGAUGAGUUUCUGUGGUGUUCCGGGCUCCUGCUCCGGUUCACUGUCCGACGACUCGUCCGGGAACCGGGCCGGAGCAGACUCCGUUAAGUCCGCCAUCCUGUGCUCAGACCCCCGGGAGGAACUGGAGAGAGAGCGCCCCCCCGAGGCGGAGAGCGGGUACGCAGGGGCAACGCGGGGGACGCUGUUACGUCACCAAACACCAGGGAGGUCAUAAGGGGCGCGUUUGAUUCAUUAUAUACAUAUUAACUCGCUAACAGCCAAUAAUAAAUAAAAAAUCAGUGUAAUUUAUUUUAAAGUAUUGUUAUCAGAACAACAACAACAUCUGUGUGUUAUCAGAGAACAGCAGGAUGCAUAACGCAGCAUGUAAGUGAGGAAAGUGGACCAGCACCGUCUGUAAAGACUGGAUUUUCUUUGAAUCUCAAUCAAAGAUAAAAACACUUCCAGGUUGAGCAGUUACACAGUGACUAAAGUAACGUUUAACGUUCACUUUCCCACACAAGAACUUAUCUUCUUUCUGGGACAACGUGACCAGCAGAGAACCACCUUGUUGUACUUCAUAUUGUGUGAGGCUCCUGGUACUUCAGGCUCCGGGUACUUCAGGCUCCUGGUACUUCAAGCUCCUGGUACUUCAGACUCCUGGUACUUCAGGCUCGUAGUACUUAGUACAAACAAACUGACGACUGAUUCUUAAAUUAGACUAAUGACUAAAAUGCUGGUGUACACUUAGUACACCAGUAUACAGCUAUGAUUCUGAAACUAUGAGAAUAUUGUAAUACUGCUGUCACUUGAAACUGUAAUAAUUAAUACAAUAAUACCAAUGCACAGCAAUGAUUGUAUUUAACGUAAUGUAACCAACCGAAAUGUGAUACCACCACUUAUAUUGACCGAGACACAUCCGAAAUCCGAGUUACAGUGAACGCACCGUCCAGUGUAAUACCUUAUUGCGCCACAUAUUCUGCAACUAGUCAACUUGAAAGUCACAUGUUGGUCCUCAGCUGAGAUGUUCUUUUUAAGCACAACACCUUUUCCUUUAUUAAAUACUUUUACUUAAUUUUUUUAAUUAGUUAAUUACAUCUAAGAUGUCUUCUGCCGGUCCAGAGUUUCUUAAUUUUUGAACACAACAUACUCCGGCUCGUAGCACUUCAUUACAUUACAGGUCAUUUAGCUGACACUUUUAUCCACAGCGUCUUACAUUACAUUUUUAACCCGUGGCUUUUUACAUCUUUGCCAGGGAGCAAUUCGGGGUUUGGUGUCUUGCUCAGGGACACUUGGACAUGGGACAUGGAGCAACCGGGGCCCAAACCACCAACCCUCUCUACCCCUGCGCCACGUCGACCCCGACAUCAGGCUCCUAGUACUUUAGGCACGUAGUACUUCAGGCUUGUAGUAUUUGGCUUGUGGUACUCCUUAAAGCUUGAAGGCUCUGUGGGCUUCUUCUAUGAACCCUCAUUUUAGUUCUUUCCAUAGAUUUUCAAUUGGAUUAGAAAAAAGUCCGGUCAUUGGCUCGGCCAUUCUAGCAGCUUUAUGUCUUUCUCUGGUUUGGGAUAAAGGUCUUAUUGAAAUGUCCACCACAGAUGUUUCAUCUUCAUCAUCCUGGAAGAUGGCAGCAGAUUUCUAUCCACCCAUUCUUCCCCAUUGUAGGAAGUUUGCUGACAACCAGCACCCCACUGUGACGUUCCCACCUCCACUUUUGGUGUGCUGUUAUUUUGGCAGAGGUGGAAAGAGUACUGAAAAUGUGUACUCAGUAUAAGUAUUGUUACAUUGCUUAAAUUGUACUCAAUUACAAGUAAAAGUACUAGUGUUAGAUUAGCGGUUGAAGUCUUGUAAGCAGAUUCACCGUGUUGAAGUUUGCACUUCAUCUGGACGCCGUCUCCUUUUCUCCCUUUGUUAAUGAAACAUUCCUCCUGGUACGAGCCGUCGUCCUCCGUCUUUUGUUCAUUAUUGUCCACGAUCACUUCUGUCUCCAUUCUUUUUCAAAUUCUCAGUCCACUCUUUACUGUGUAUUUUACCUCCAGAAACAUUUGCCUGCUAAAGCAGCGAGUUGUCCUUUGCUUAUAUUAUGUCUCAGAAUAAUUAGCGAGGACGCGAUCUGACAGCCAAUAAGGAUUUACAUUGAAAAAAAAAAAUCUGACAGUUUGAAUAAUAUUUUAAAUUGUGGGCGUACUUGAUAGCGACUUUUGAUUUUAAAAGUAGCAAAGUAGAUUACAUGGUGUAAAUUGUACUCAAGUAUGAGUAAAAUUACACACUUGAAGAAAAUACUCCUAAAAGUACAAGUACCCAAAAAUUCUACUUAAUUACAGUAACGUGAGUAUUUGUAAUUCGUCACUUUCACGCCUGAUUUUCGGGGGGUUAGGGUUUUGAUGUGCGUUGCCUUUUGACCUCCACACAUGUUGUGUAUUUUGGCAUCCCAACAGCUCCAUCUUGCUCCCAUCUGACUCCAUUCUCCCAGAAUAUCACAGGCCUGUCUAAAUGCUGUGCAGCAAAAGGCGCUUCAACCGGCUUUUUCUUCAGUGAUGGCUGUGGCAAUGGAUCACUUCUACACGGCCAUCAUGGAGUCCGUCCUCUGCUCCUCCAUCAGCGUCUGGUACGCUGCAGCCACAGCCAAGGACGAGGGCAGGCUGCAGCGUGUCCUCCGCUCUGCAGAGAGGCUGAUCGGCUGCAAUUGUCCAUCAGGACCAAGACCUCCCACCACAAAAACAGUUUCUUCCAAUUCCGAGUCCCCCACUGACCCAGACACUACAUCCCAGGACAUUUGCACAGUAGUCCACAGUAGUCAAACUAAGGACUCACCUCUUCAGACUCUACCUCGACUAAAAGACUAACAAAUUGUACCACUUAAAUUGUACUUAUAACGCCACUUAUCUAUAGCAAGUUGUAAAUUGGCUUAUUUGAUGAAAUUGCACUUUCUUGUUUCUUGUUCUUCUGAGUUUGUACCUUAUGGUUGAAUGCACUUAUUGUAAGUCGCUUUGGAUAAAAGCGUCAGCUAAACGUGGGAUGUAAUGUAGUCCAACGUACCACAUGUCUCAACGUACUUAUCUGUUUAUAUUGUUAAUAUCUUUACUUUUUACUUUCAUUUUAUUUGUCUCAUAAAACUGCACCAAUCACCAGAACAAAUUCAAUGUAACAUACGUGGCAAUAAACGGCUUCUGAUUCUGGAUGUCAGAAGCAUCGAUCAAUAACUAGUUGGUCAUCAAUCAGACAAACAGAAAUGUUCAUUUUAAAAUGAAAUAUUUCUAAAAUGUGAUGACAAUCUCAUAUCAAUGAACCUCCUGAAAGUCUUUCAUUCAAAGAGUCACUUACAGUCACGUUAUUAGAAUUUUAUUUUGUACUUUCACUCUUGUCUUAAAAAGUACAAUUAUUAUCCAGUAAAUCAGACCAUGUCUCACUUUAAAAGAGUCAAGAAGUAACAUAUUAAACAAACGGAUAUGUCUUUGUGUUUGUCUGUCCUCCUGUCCUCCUGUCCAUGGGACAUCUAGUAGUUCAGGCCUCAGUAGGAGACUCGUCAUCGUCCCCGUAGACGACGCCCUUCAGGUAGACUCGCUUGAACUCCUCAAACACAAAGUCCUCUGAUUCACUGCAGACGGACGAGAGAAGGAGCUGAUUGAUGUGACACCAGGGUGACACAUCGAUAAUAAUCUCAACUGAUCAAUGAUUAUUGAUCACUGAUCUCACCUCUCUUUGGCUAAAGGCACAACGUUCAGAUUGUAAAGAAAGAAAAGAGAGAUGUUUGUGUUCACAUGUAAAAGAAGAAAAAACACAUGAAUCCUCUACAGGAAAUCAAAUUAAAACAACAGGAAGAGGAGGAGUUUACCUGUUUCAGGGUUCGGGUUCAUCAGUUUGAAUGGCAGCUCCAGAGACACCUCACUGUAACACACACACACACACACACACACACACACACACACACACACACACACGCACGCAAACACGCACGCAAACACGCACGCAAACACGCACGCACGCACGCACACGCACGCAAACACACACACACACUGGUCAGAUCUGAUGACACGCCGACAGGGAGGAAGAGGGAGAAGGAAGAGGAAGAGGAGAAGAAG